AGUGAACGCUGGCGGUAGGCCUAACACAUGCAAGUCGAACGGCAGCACAGUAAGAGCUUGCUCUUACGGGUGGCGAGUGGCGGACGGGUGAGGAAUACAUCGGAAUCUACUUUUUCGUGGGGGAUAACGUAGGGAAACUUACGCUAAUACCGCAUACGACCUACGGGUGAAAGCAGGGGAUCUUCGGACCUUGCGCGAUUGAAUGAGCCGAUGUCGGAUUAGCUAGUUGGCGGGGUAAAGGCCCACCAAGGCGACGAUCCGUAGCUGGUCUGAGAGGAUAAUCAGCCACACUGGAACUGAGACACGGUCCAGACUCCUACGGGAGGCAGCAGUGGGGAAUAUUAGACAAUGGGCGCAAGCCUGAUCCAGCGAUACCGCGUGGGUGAAGAAGGCCUUCGGGUUGUAAAGCCCUUUUGUUGGGAAAGAAAAGCAGCAGGUUAAUACCCCGCUGUUCUGACGGUACCCAAAGAAUAAGCACCGGCUAACUUCGUG
rnacentral:rRNA from 1 species